rnacentral:rRNA from 1 species
GAUUAAGUUAUUAAGGGCGCACGGUGGAUGCCUUGGCACUAGAAGCCGAUGAAGGACGUUACUAACGACGAUAUGCUUUGGGGAGCUGUAAGUAAGCUUUGAUCCAGAGAUUUCCGAAUGGGGAAACCCAGCAUGAGUUAUGUCAUGUUAUCGAUAUGUGAAUACAUAGCAUAUCAGAAGGCACACCCGGAGAACUGAAACAUCUUAGUACCCGGAGGAAGAGAAAGAAAAUUCGAUUCCCUUAGUAGCGGCGAGCGAAACGGGAAGAGCCCAAACCAACAAGCUUGCUUGUUGGGGUUGUAGGACACUCUAUACGGAGUUACAAAGGACGACAUUAGACGAAUCAUCUGGAAAGAUGAAUCAAAGAAGGUAAUAAUCCUGUAGUCGAAAAUGUUGUCUCUCUUGAGUGGAUCCUGAGUACGACGGAGCACGUGAAAUUCCGUUGGAAUCUGGGAGGACCAUCUCCUAAGGCUAAAUACUCUCUAGUGACCGAUAGUGAACCAGUACCGUGAGGGAAAGGUGAAAAGCACCCCGGAAGGGGAGUGAAAUAGAACC